rnacentral:rRNA from 1 species
UGCCAGCCGCCGCGGUAACACCGGCGGCUCGAGUGGUAACCGUUAUUAUUGGGUCUAAAGGGUCUGUAGCCGGCCGGAUAAGUCUCUUGGGAAAUCCGGCAGCUUAACUGUCGGGCUUUCAGGAGAUACUGUUCGGCUCGAGGCCGGGAGAGGUGAGAGGUACUUCAGGGGUAGGGGUGAAAUCUUGUAAUCCUUGAAGGACCACCAGUGGCGAAGGCGUCUCACCAGAACGGACCUGACGGCAAGGGACGAAAGCUAGGGGCACGAACCGGAUUAGAUACCCGGGUAGUCCUAGCCGUAAACGAUACUCGCUAGGUGUCGGCCACGGUGCGACCGUGGUCGGUGCCGUAGGGAAGCCGUGAAGCGAG